ensembl:snRNA U6 U6 spliceosomal RNA
GUGCUCAUUUUGGCAGCAUGUAUACUAAAACUGGAACAGUACAGAUAUUAGUAUGGCCCCUGAGCAAGCCAUGCAAAUUAAUGAAACAUUCCAUAUAUCU